rnacentral:rRNA from 1 species
GCUGGGGUAUCGAUGACACCAGCGAUCGUCGGCGUUAUUUAGGACCCGAGUAGCAGCUUCCGGGAAACCAAAAUUUUUCGUUUCCGGGGAAGUAUGGUUGCAAAGCUGAAACUUAAAGGAAUUGACGGAAGGGCACCACCAGGAGUGGAGCCUGCGGCUUAAUUUGACUCAACACGGGAAAACUCACCCGGCCCGGACACCGUAAGGAUUGACAGACUGAGAGCUCUUUCUUAAUUCGGUGGGUGGUGGUGCAUGGCCGUUCUUAGUUGGUGGAGCGAUUUGUCUGGUUUAUUCCGAUAACGAACGAGACUCUGGCCUAUUAAAUAGACAACGUAUUAAAAAGGAUGUCGUACUUCUUAAAAGGACAAGCGGCGUCUAGCCCCCUGAAAUAUAACAAUAACAGGUCUGUGAUGCCCUUAAAUGUCCGGGGCUGCACGCGCGCUACACUGAAAAAAAUCACGAGCGAUUCGCCUGGUUCGGAAGAACUGGGUAACCCAAGUAAAUUCUUUCGUGCUUGGGAUAGGGAAUUGCAAUUAUUUCCCUUAGACGAGGAAUUCCCAGUAAAUGCUGGGUCAUAAGCUCGCGUUGAUUACGUCCCUGCCCUUUGUACACACCGCCCGUCGCUACUACCGAAUCUGAUGACUUACUGAAGUCUUAGGACCUGACGUAAUGGUGCCUUCUCGGGCGCUUUCUGCUUUGGAAAUCUGAUCUAAUCUACGUUAUCUAGAGCAGUCAAAGUCGUAACAACGUUUCCGUAAGUGGAUCUGCGAAGAUC